GGCGAGUGAAGCGGUAACAGCUCAAAUUUGAAAUCUGGCUCUUUCAGGGUCCGAGUUGUAAUUUGUAGAAGAUGCUUUGGGUGUGGCUCCAGUCUAAGUUCCUUGGAACAGGACGUCAUAGAGGGUGAGAAUCCCGUAUGUGAUUGGUGGCUUUCGCCCGUGUAAAGCUCUUUCGACGAGUCGAGUUGUUUGGGAAUGCAGCUCAAAAUGGGUGGUAAAUUUCAUCUAAAGCUAAAUAUUGGCCAGAGACCGAUAGCGCACAAGUAGAGUGAUCGAAAGAUGAAAAGCACUUUGGAAAGAGAGUUAAACAGUACGUGAAAUUGUUGAAAGGGAAGCGUUGGCAACCAGACUCGCACGCCGCUAAUCAUCCGGGGUUCUCCCCGGUGCACUUGGCGGUUUUCGGGCCAGCAUCGGUUUCGGUGGUGGGAUAAAGGCCUUGGGAAUGUAGCUUCUUUCGGGGAGUGUUAUAGCCCUCGGUGCAAUGCCGCCUACCGGGACCGAGGACCGCGCUUCGGCUAGGAUGCUGGCGUAAUGGUUGUCAACGGCCCGUCUUGAAACACGGACCAAGGAGUCUAACAUCUAUGCGAGUAUUUGGGUGUCAAACCCAUAUGCGUAAUGAAAGUGAACGGAGGUAAGAGCCCUUGAGGGUGCAUUAUCGACCGAUCCUGAUGUCUUCGGAUGGAUUUGAGUAAGAGCAUAGCUGUUGGGACCCGAAAGAUGGUGAACUAUGCCUAAAUAGGGUGAAGCCAGAGGAAACUCUGGUGGAAGCUCGCAGCGGUUCUGACGUGCAAAUCGAUCGUCAAAUUUGGGUAUAGGGGCGAAAGACUAAUCGAACCAUUGAGAUGGAAUAACUACUAGGUGGUUAAGAGGCGCACGCCUAGUCCUGUCCAGGGCAAAUUGUCAAUUGUUCGGGAACCC
rnacentral:rRNA from 1 species